rnacentral:rRNA from 1 species
AUUGAACGCUGGCGGCAGGCCUAACACAUGCAAGUCGAGCGGAGCGGCGGACGGGUGAGUAAUGUCUGGGAAACUGCCUGCUGGAGGGGGAUAACUCAUGUAAACGGUAGCUAAUACCGCAUCCCAUCAGCUGUGCCCAGAUGGGAUUAGCUAGGUGGUGGGGUAAAGGCCUACCAAGGGGACGAUCCGUAACUGGUAUGGGAGGAUGAUCAGCCACACUGGAACUGAGACACGGUCCAGACUCCUACGGUAGCCAUCAUUGGGGAAGAUUGGACAAUGGGUGAAAGCCUGGUCCAGCCAUGCCGCGUGUGUGAAGAAGGUCUUCGGAUUGUAAAGCACUUUAAGUUGGGAGGCGUUACCAACAGAAUAAGCACCGGCUAACUUCGUGCCAGCAGCCGCGGUAAUUC